ensembl:misc_RNA 7SK 7SK RNA
GGAUGUGAGGGGCCAUCUGGCUGCAACACCUGUCACCCCAUUGAUUGGCAGAGUUGAUUCCGCUGAUCUGGCUGGCUAGGUGUCCCCUUCCUCCUUCACUGCUCCAUGUGCGUCCCUCCUGAACCAGUGUUCUGGGUCAAAGAGGACGACCAUCCCAUACAGGAGGGCCGUCCCUCAGUCAAGGGCAUACGAGUAGCCACGUUCCCCUGCUAGAACCUCCAGACAAGCUCUCAAGUUCUCAGACACCUUUGCAAUUGGAAAGACGAAUUUCAAAAGAAAGGAAAUGUUUCCAUCUCUACAGAAAAGCCAAAGCUGUUUAAAAACCUUCUUU